rnacentral:rRNA from 1 species
AACGAACGCUGGCGGCAUGCCUAACACAUGCAAGUCGAACGAAGGCUUCGGCCCUAGUGGCGCACGGGUGAGUAACGCGUGGGAAACUGCCUAUUGGUGGGGAAUAACGACGGGAAAAUGUCGCUAAUACCGCAUAAGCCCUUCGGGGGAAAGAUUUAUCGCCGAUAGAUGUGCCCGCGUCCGAUUAGCUAGUUGGGGAGGUAAUGGCUCACCAAGGCGACGAUCGGUAGCUGGUCUGAGAGGAUGAUCAGCCACACUGGGACUGAGACACGGCCCAGACUCCUACGGGAGGCAGCAGUGGGGAAUAUUGGACAAUGGGCGAAAGCCUGAUCCAGCAAUGCCGCGUGAGUGAUGAAGGCCUUAGGGUUGUAAAGCUCUUUCGGGUGGGACGAUGAUGACGGUACCACCAGAAGAAGCCCCGGCUAACUUCGUGCCAGCCGCCGCAGUAAAAC